GGUGCCAAAAGCAUGCCGAAAGAAACCCUCCUUUUCAGAGGUUGCUUCCUGGGAGCUCAAGCUGUGGAAUCUGCCCAGAAGUCAAAGGUCUUGAUGGCAAUUGUACACUGACAGCAAGUUCUAGCAGCCAUUACUACACUGACGCUUAUUCUGGUCACUGAAUCAAUAUCAAUAUUCAUGAAGAUAGAGCAUCUUGAUUUUGCUCAUAUUUUUGGACUCUCUAUAACAAUCAGCUUCUUCAUUUCAUCAUGGAUAGCUGACAAAUAAUAUGGCAAGUAAUUGAACUCAUCAGAAAAGUAAAACAAAUCUAUAGUAAUCACAUUUUGCUUUAGUGACUAGUCUUUGAGCUCUUUCAACCUGCAGAUUGAACAGGCUGUGGUGUGCUUUUGAAACAAAGGAAAAGAUGAAACAGAUGCUUGUUAAUCAUGUUGGAACUUCUAAAACAGCUGUUGCCAUGGGAGAUAUUGUUCCAGUACUUCUUUUGAAUUUUACAUGAGGACAUUUGCUCCCUCCUUGGCAUUGCAAAUUACAGGAGUGAUUGAGGUAGUUCUAAAAUCCCUAACUCCCCUUCCCCAUUUGAAUGCCUAGCCUUGCGUUUUGGCAUCAAUUUGAGCUGUAAUGCCUUUGCAGCAAAGCAAGGAAAAGUCUGUGAACUAUAAUUGCUCACUGCAAAAGUGUUUGAUGAUUAGCACAAUCUCUCAAGCAAGUUGUAAAGGAUAGAAACUGUGCUUAGGGAGUUAAUAAAACAAUCCCGCAGUUUCCCUAGGCAGUUUUUCCAGGUGCAACGUCUGCCCCUCUCAAAACAAAAUCUACAGCUUCGGAAUAGAGUGAGCCGCGCGCAUGGAUCAAUGGUCAAACCCAGAGAGUGGGGCUCAUCCAAGAGAAACAAGACGAAAAAUUCAACCAGAGACAGAAAUCUGGACGUGCACCAAACAACUUUUCAUCAGUGUGUCUGUCCGGGAGGAAACAUUUUCCAGUGGCCUCCUUCCUUUUUUUUUUUUUUUCUUUCGAAAUGAGCUCAACUGCAGUGUUCGCAGGCGUUGUAACCAACACACUGCUUUAGGCAUGGAGGAGCAUGAAUAAGUGAUGCUGUCUGUUCAAGUUGUGGAUGCCGUGAAAGGAGCCGGAGCAGGCCUAGUACCAGCACCGGGCACCUCCCUGAAUCUGAAGGCAACGAGGCGGGCAUCGGUCCACCGGAAAUGCACAAACAGCUUCUUCCAGACGCUGGCCUUCGUCUCAAUGAGAUGCUCUUUGGCUUAAACCGAUAAACCGCCCCAUCAGGUGGGACCAUUUGGAAGUGACAGAGAAAACACACAGGGCUCGAGUGUUUUGCACUCAGCCGUGUUUACAGAAACAGGAAAGCCUGAUGCCUUUCAAGUUAUUUCAUCCUGCACCUUUGCAAGAUCCCUCAUCUUGUUGUCAGUAAAUUGGAUGAGUGCACCUUCUGUAUAUUCAUUCAAGCGAUGUAAAUAUUGAACAGAAAGGGAGCUAUGGCACACUAACUGUGGACCAGAAGAUCGUAGAGAAGGGAAAAAUAACCUGCCUUUAGCAACAACAACAAAAAAAUCCACCAAGUAAUGGCAAAUAUGACUUCAACAACAUGAAUUACUCUGGGCACAAAAGAGUAAGAACAAAAGACCUGAGCCUGAUUUUCAGAUUUCUAAAUUACAUGUUGAAAUUGAGCAUAUAAAAAAAUACAAGCAUUACACAAAAUGCCCUGAACUUAAGAGGCAUUUUUCAUUUGGCAUGGCAAUAUUCUCAGACAGCUAAAAGAAUGAAAUUUUGUCUUUACUUUUUCUUCUCUAUUACUGCACCAGACUAGUGUGUGCUGUAAAUUAGCUCAUUAUGCCCAGGGUAGGAUAUUGAAUAGUCUUAUUCAAUUGUUACAAAAAUGGCAGUAAUACAUUUUAGAAGUCAGACCCUUUGCUAGUCUCUCUGAUAUUCUGUAAUGUGAAGCCAGUGAUUGUAUAAACUGGACUUUGCUCUGUGAAAAUUCAGGCUCUGAGAUGCAGCAGAAAGGAGUGAGGACCCUGCAGAUGCUGGCACAUAAGGCUGAUACCACAGAAAAGCCAGCCCGUUUUAUUUGACAGGGUCCAGAAUCUAUCUUUAUUGAGGCUUCAGGACACCAGGGAGGCAGGCACCCUGCAGCCUUGAUCCUCACAUAUUAGCAGUUCUCUCUCUCUAUCACAUGGAAUGUUUCCAAAAUAUCUUCUCCAUUUUUUUUUUUCCCCUGAAGCCAGAGACUAGAACUAUCAU